UACGAAGGUCCCGAGCGUUGUUCGGAAUCACUGGGCGUAAAGGGAGCGUAGGCGGCGUGGUAAGUCAGAUGUGAAAUCCCGGGGCUCAACCCCGGAACUGCAUCCGAUACUGCCGUGCUAGAGUGAUGGAGAGGUAGCUGGAAUUCACGGUGUAGCAGUGAAAUGCGUGGAUAUCGUGAGGAACACUCGUGGCGAAAGCGAGCUACUGGACAUUUACUGACGCUGAGGCUCGAAGGCCAGGGUAGCGAAAGGGAUUAGAUACCCCUGUAGUCCUGGCAGUAAACGGUGCACGCUUGGUGUGAGGGGAAUCGACCCCCCUUGUGCCGGAGCAAACGCGUUAAGCGUGCCGCCUGGGAAGUACGGUCGCAAGACUA
rnacentral:rRNA from 1 species